rnacentral:lncRNA from 1 species
GGUCCGGAUCCGUGUCAGGAUGACUUCAAACAUGGACAGACCACAACAGAGACGCUCCUUGGUUAGCAAGUCCCCCUCUCUUGCAAUUGCAAUUUGCUGCAAAAAGUACAUGGAAUAUUACAAGCCAUGAUAGAAUACUAAAGGGCUAAAAACAAACUACCACCAGCCAACUUACUCAGUAGUAGAUAGGAAAUGCUAAGUUGGCAGAACAGGGUUUUGCAGCAUCAACAGGUUAUAUCAGCAGUUAUCUAUAUGCUAAAGAUUAAAAUACUGAAGUCUGUCUAGAAGAGUAAAGUAGAGAUAUUUCUAGUGGUCACAAAAAAUUUACUGGCAUCUCGUGGCUAGAAACCAGUAAUGCCACUGAACAGAGUCUAUAAGACAACCUCAAACAGAAACUCUGGUUCAAAACAGCAAUGGUCCAAACAGUUAUGUAUGCCAGAUCUAGGCUAACUUGCAUUCUUUUUGUUUGUUUGUUUGGGUUGUUUGUUUGUUUGUUUAUUUGUUUGUUUUGAGACAGGGUUUCUCUGUGUAGCACUGAAUGCAUAUGGCACACAUAAAUAUACUUAAGCACACAUAAAUACAUUUUUUUUUUUUUGUGAGACAAGUUCUUUUUAUAUAGCUCUGACUGUCUUGGAACUCACUCUGUAGACCAGACUGGCACUGAAUUCAGAAAUCCAUCUGCCUCUGCCUCCCAAGUGCUGGGAUUAAAGGCGUGUGCCACCACUGCCCAGGGGUAAACUUCAUCCUGAUACCUUGCCUUUUGUCACCAUUUCUUCUAAGAAGCAACUCUAUUUAAAAAGCUUGGUGCAAUGGUGAUGAACACUGUUAAUCCCAGCACUUGGGAGGCAGAGGCAGGUGGGUCACUAUGAGUUUGAGGCCAGCCUACUCUAUAGAGCAAGUCAAGGACAGCCAUGGCUACACAGAAACCCUGUCUGAAAAAGAAAAGGAAAACAAACAAACAAAAAACAAUUGUUCAUGAAAGGGUGGAGUAGAACAACAGGCAACAUCUGAGUACAUCUUUGUUUCUAAGAUAGAUAGGUGUUCAGCCCUUUCCGCAUACUCUCUAAUCCUCCCAACUCGUCCAACAGUGUUGACCUCACAGUAACUCCUGGCUGCUCCACUGGCCUGAUGUGAAUUUCCACCCAGCACACAGACCCCAGUAAGCAUAGCAUCUUACCUGUGGGGUCCCCAGCCUUUCAAUCAGUGGGACAAGGUGCAGUGGGGCAUACUUGGAUUCUAGUCUUUUCAUUUUGGCAUCAACUCUCUCCCCCUCUGUAUUGGAAAAGACAUUAUUAUUAUUCUCUGUCCUUAUGUAAGAUUUUAAAAUUGCCAAAGUUUAAUUUUUAACAGAAAUUUAAAGAUUCAGUUAACUCCAUGGGUGGAGAGUCUCUUUGGAAAGAGUAUAUUAUAGUAUGUUAAAAUAUACAAUAUAUUAAAAUGGCUUAUUUUAAUUCAAGCUAACAAGUUCACUAAUGUAACCAUUUAGAAUCUGCUUUCAGCUUGGACUAGUGUAACUUUUUCAUGUAAUUAUUUACAGAAUGGGGGAACAUGGGAGAGUUAAAUGUGUGUUCGGUUUUCAAAUUUCACUGAAAAUUCUAAACAUGAUCUAAAGC